rnacentral:rRNA from 1 species
GAUGAACGCUGGCGGCGUGCCUAAUACAUGCAAGUCGAGCGGUAAGGCCUCUUCGGAGGUACACGAGCGGCGGACGGCUGAGUAACACGUAGGAACGUACUCCAAAGUGAGGAAUAAGCACCAGAAAUGGUGUCUAAUACCGCAUGUGCUCUAAGGAGUAAAGCUUCGGCGCUUUGGGAACGGCCUGCGCAUGAUUAGCUUGUUGGUGAGGUAAAAGCUCACCAAGGCGACGAUCAUUAGCUGGUCUGAGAGGAUGAUCAGCCAGACUGGGACUGAGACCCGGCCCAGACUCCUACGGGAGGCAGCAGUAGGGAAUUUUCCACAAUGGGCGAAAGCCUGAUGGAGCAACGCCGCGUGCAGGAUGAAUGCCUUCGGGUUGUAAACUGCUUUUAUAUGUGACGAUUAUGACGGUAGCAUAUGAAUAAGGAUCGGCUAACUCCGUGCCAGCCGCCGCCGUAA